AUGUCACUCCGCCGCCUCGUAGCCCGCUCCCUCUCCACCGCUGACCUCUCCGGCCGCCUCAGCCCGCUCUCCACCGCCGUCGCUGUCCCAGGCCGCUCCCUCUCCACCGCCGACCUCGCAGGCCGCCGCCGCACGCACCCGCCAUGGGCAAUCAUCCACGACACGUCGGAGGUCGACCGGUCGUCGUCGGCCCCGGGCGCGCGCUUCCGCCCCGUGGAUCCUCCGGGUGUCUCCCACAUCUUCGCCCCAGCGCACCUCAUCGAUCCCACGGAACGCCCACACGCCGGUAGCAGCGACGACGUCCUCCGAUACAUCGGCGGCAACGUCGUCCAGCUCCUCUUCGGCAACGUCGGCGCCACCAGCGGCGACGGCCACCUCCUGCUCAGCUACCACGACCUCCGGGCGGAGGGCCCUUGCACCCGCUGGGACUUGGCCGAGGACCCCGAAGCCCACCGCUUCGUCUGCAACCCUCUCACCGGCCAGAUGCUCCGCCUGCCCGACAUCGGCGGCUCCAGGAGGAACUACGCCCUCCACAGCAUGGGCCUCCUCACCCAGGCCGACGGGGGGCUCGGGUGCGGGCCGCCCGACAGGUUCGCCGUCGCCGACUUCGUCCUCAAUGGCGCCGCCAUCUUGCGGUUUCUCUCUGAGGAAGGGAAGUGGAGGGCGGUACGGCCGGUCCAUGGCAAUCCAUCGCUCCCGCGCCCGAUAGAGAUGAACCAGGAGACGGUUGCCUUCGGCGGCCGGCUGUGGUGGGUCGACCUGACCUUGGGUGCCGUCUCCGUCGACCCGUUCGCCGACCGGCCGGAGAUCCGCUUCGUCGAGCUGCCCAGCGGCAGCGUGCUGCCUGCGCCUGCACGUGUGGACGAAGCAGACCCCUGCAAGGUCGAGGAACGGGGGCUGCUCAUUAUGGAGGUGACCAAUCGCCGGCGCAUCGGCGUGAGCGAGGGGAGGCUGCGCUACGCCGAGGUGACUCCGGGCGGGCCGUUUCUGCUCAGCUCAUAUGCGCUCGACGACGACGAGGGCAGCGGCUGGAAGCUGGAGCACCAGGUGUCGCUCAGGCAGGUGUUGGCGGACGGAGGCUACUCGGCACAGGCGGCGCCGCAGAUCGCCGUCCUUGACCCCGUCGACGCCAACAUCAUUUACCUCAAGGUCGGCAAGGACGUCGUCGUCGUGGACAUGCAUAAUGGGAAUGUGAUUGGGGGCUGUCGGCUUCAAGGAGAGUACGUUUCUCUUGUACCAUGCGUGCUUCCACACUGGCUUGGAUCAAGCCGGAUCCCCGCCCAAGGCAAGAAGGAUGGCAUGGAAGUGACAGAUGAUCUGGUCAGUAGCGCCUAG
rnacentral:rRNA from 1 species